rnacentral:rRNA from 1 species
UACGUAGGGGGCAAGCGUUGUCCGGAAUCAUUGGGCGUAAAGCGCGUGUAGGCGGCCUUGUAAGUCCGUUCUGAAAGCCCGGGGCUCAACCCCGGGAGGCGGAUGGAUACUGCAAGGCUCGAGUACGGAAGAGGCGAGUGGAAUUCCCGGUGUAGCGGUGAAAUGCGCAGAUAUCGGGAGGAACACCAAUGGCGAAGGCAGCUCGCUGGGACGUGACUGACGCUGAGACGCGAAAGCGUGGGGAGCAAACAGG